rnacentral:tRNA from 1 species
GCACCUAUAGCUCAGUUGGAUAGAGCAACGGACUUCUAAUUCGUGUGCCGGGGGUUCAAAUCCUCCUAGGUGCACCA